UACGUAGGGGGCGAGCGUUGUCCGGAAUUAUUGGGCGUAAAGAGCUCGUAGGCGGCUUGGCAAGUCGGAUGUGAAAACUCCAGGCUCAACCUGGAGCCGCCAUUCGAUACUGCCAUGGCUAGAGUCCGGUAGGGGAGUGUGGAAUUCCCGGUGUAGCGGUGGAAUGGCGUAGAGAUCGGGAAGAACGAUCGGUGGCGAAGGGCGGCCUGACUGGGCCUCUUGGCUGACACGUGAUGCGCGACAGCGUGGGGAGCAAACAGG
rnacentral:rRNA from 1 species